AUUGAACGCUGGCGGCAGGCCUAACACAUGCAAGUCGAACGGGUGGCGGACGGGUGCGUACUGUUUAGGAACCUGCUCGUUGGCGGGGGAUAACUGCUGGAAACGGUAGCGACUCCGGCAUCACAUCAGAUGUGCACAGAUGGGAUUAGAUAGUGGGUGGGGUAAAGGCUCACCUAGGCGACGAGCCCUAGCCGGUCUGAGAGGAUGAUCCGCCACACUGGAACUGAGACACGGUCCAGACUCCUACGGGAGGCAGCAGUGGGGAAUAUUGGACAAUGGGCGAAAGCCUGAUGCAGCCAUGCCGCGUGUGUGAAGAAGGUCUUCGGAUUGUAAAGUACUUUCAGUAGGGAGGCGUUACCAACAGAAGAAGCACCGGCUAACUACGUGCCAGCAGCCGCGGUAAUAC
rnacentral:rRNA from 1 species